rnacentral:ncRNA from 1 species
CCGCUCGGCGGCCGCCGAGCGGGAACUGACACCGGUACCUGAUACGGCCGGUGCAG